UACGUAGGGUGCAAGCGUUGUCCGGAAUUAUUGGGCGUAAAGAGCUCGUAGGCGGUCUGUUGCGUCGGCUGUGAAAACCCGGGGCUCAACCCCGGGCCUGCAGCCGAGACGGGCAGACUAGAGUUCGGCAGGGGAGACUGGAAUUCCUGGUGUAGCGGUGAAAUGCGCAGAUAUCAGGAGGAACACCGGUGGCGAAGGCGGGUCUCUGGGCCGAUACUGACGCUGAGGAGCGAAAGCGUGGGGAGCGAACAGG
rnacentral:rRNA from 1 species